rnacentral:rRNA from 1 species
GUGGGGAAUAUUGGACAAUGGGCGCAAGCCUGAUCCAGCCAUGCCGCGUGAGUGAUGAAGGCCCUAGGGUUGUAAAGCUCUUUCACCGGAGAAGAUAAUGACGGUAUCCGGAGAAGAAGCCCCGGCUAACUUCGUGCCAGCAGCCGCGGUAAUACGAAGGGGGCUAGCGUUGUUCGGAAUUACUGGGCGUAAAGCGCACGUAGGCGGACAUUUAAGUCAGGGGUGAAAUCCCGGAGCUCAACUCCGGAACUGCCUUUGAUACUGGGUGUCUGGAGUAUGGAAGAGGUGAGUGGAAUUCCGAGUGUAGAGGUGGAAUUCGUAGAUAUUAGGAAGAACACCAGUGGCGAAGGCGGCUCACUGGUCUGGUACUGACGCUGAGGUGCGAAAGCGUGGGGAGCAAACAGGAUUAGAAACCCUAGUAGUCC